rnacentral:rRNA from 1 species
UACAGAGGGUGCGAGCGUUGUCCGGAAUCACUGGGCGUAAAGGGCGCGUAGGUGGCGACCCAAGUCGAUGGUGAAAGCUCGCCGCUCAACGGCGAGUCGGCCACUGAUACUGGGUUGCUGGAGCACUGUAGAGGCAGAUGGAAUUCCGGGUGUAGCGGUGGAAUGCGUAGAGAUCCGGAAGAACACCGGUGGCGAAGGCGGCCUGCUGGGCUAUGGCUGACACUGAGGCGCGACAGCGUGGGGAGCAAACAGG